GCAUCAAUGGGGUAGUGGUAACCUGGGUCGUUGCCAUGUGCCAAGCUGUCAACUUGAUAUCGACCCGCCGGGGGUUCAAUUCCCCCUUGAUGCA